rnacentral:rRNA from 1 species
UACGUAGGGUGCGAGCGUUAAUCGGAAUUACUGGGCGUAAAGCGUGCGCAGGCGGUUCGUUGUGUCGGCGGUGAAAGCCCCGGGCUUAACCUGGGAAUGGCCGUUGAAACUGGCGAACUGGAGUGUGGCAGAGGGGGGUGGAAUUCCGCGUGUAGCAGUGAAAUGCGUAGAGAUGCGGAGGAACACCGAUGGCGAAGGCAGCCCCCUGGGCUAACACUGACGCUCAGGCAUGAAAGCGUGGGGAGCAAACAGG